AAAAAAAACACACAUCUGUUUUAGCCGACAAAGCACAGUUCGGUUUAAAUUAAUUAAGUCAUGGACACUUGGUUUCUGGCUGCUUGGUUUAUAAGUUGUAAUAUAUAUUCUAGCUUGUACAUUUUUUAUUUGUAUAAACGACUGUUAACGUCAUAAUCCAACAACGUUUCUUUCGUCUAAACUUUCGCGGACCAUCGCACUUUAGCGUGUGUAAGCAUCGCACUUUAGCGUAUACCGUCGCACUUUAGCGUGACCAUCGUACUUUAGCGUCCCCAUCGCACUUUAGAGUUCUACAUAUA
rnacentral:lncRNA from 1 species